AGAGUUUGAUCAUGGCUCAGAUUGAACGCUGGCGGCAGGCCUAACACAUGCAAGUCGAACGGUAACAGAAAGCAGCUUGCUGCUUUGCUGACGAGUGGCGGACGGGUGAGUAAUGUCUGGGAAACUGCCUGAUGGAGGGGGAUAACUACUGGAAACGGUAGCUAAUACCGCAUAACGUCGCAAGACCAAAGAGGGGGACCUUAGGGCCUCUUGCCAUCGGAUGUGCCCAGAUGGGAUUAGCUAGUAGGUGGGGUAACGGCUCACCUAGGCGACGAUCCCUAGCUGGUCUGAGAGGAUGACCAGCCACACUGGAACUGAGACACGGUCCAGACUCCUACGGGAGGCAGCAGUGGGGAAUAUUGCACAAUGGGCGCAAGCCUGAUGCAGCCAUGCCGCGUGUAUGAAGAAGGCCUUCGGGUUGUAAAGUACUUUCAGCGGGGAGGAAGGGAGUAAAGUUAAUACCUUUGCUCAUUGACGUUACCCGCAGAAGAAGCACCGGCUAACUCCGUGCCAGCAGCCGCGGUAAUACGGAGGGUGCAAGCGUUAAUCGGAAUUACUGGGCGUAAAGCGCACGCAGGCGGUUUGUUAAGUCAGAUGUGAAAUCCCCGGGCUCAACCUGGGAACUGCAUCUGAUACUGGCAAGCUUGAGUCUCGUAGAGGGGGGUAGAAUUCCAGGUGUAGCGGUGAAAUGCGUAGAGAUCUGGAGGAAUACCGGUGGCGAAGGCGGCCCCCUGGACGAAGACUGACGCUCAGGUGCGAAAGCGUGGGGAGCAAACAGGAUUAGAUACCCUGGUAGUCCACGCCGUAAACGAUGUCGACUUGGAGGUUGUGCCCUUGAGGCGUGGCUUCCGGAGCUAACGCGUUAAGUCGACCGCCUGGGGAGUACGGCCGCAAGGUUAAAACUCAAAUGAAUUGACGGGGGCCCGCACAAGCGGUGGAGCAUGUGGUUUAAUUCGAUGCAACGCGAAGAACCUUACCUGGUCUUGACAUCCACGGAAGUUUUCAGAGAUGAGAAUGUGCCUUCGGGAACCGUGAGACAGGUGCUGCAUGGCUGUCGUCAGCUCGUGUUGUGAAAUGUUGGGUUAAGUCCCGCAACGAGCGCAACCCUUAUCCUUUGUUGCCAGCGGUCCGGCCGGGAACUCAAAGGAGACUGCCAGUGAUAAACUGGAGGAAGGUGGGGAUGACGUCAAGUCAUCAUGGCCCUUACGACCAGGGCUACACACGUGCUACAAUGGCGCAUACAAAGAGAAGCGACCUCGCGAGAGCAAGCGGACCUCAUAAAGUGCGUCGUAGUCCGGAUUGGAGUCUGCAACUCGACUCCAUGAAGUCGGAAUCGCUAGUAAUCGUGGAUCAGAAUGACACGGUGAAUACGUUCCCGGGCCUUGUACACACCGCCCGUCACACCAUGGGAGUGGGUUGCAAAAGAAGUAGGUAGCUUAACCUUCGGGAGGGCGCUUACCACUUUGUGAUUCAUGACUGGGGUGAAGUCGUAACAAGGUAACCGUAGGGGAACCUGCGGUUGGAUCACCU
rnacentral:rRNA from 1 species